CCUGCUGCUGCCCAUUCCCGACUGUCUCCGCGUCCCAGUCUGUACUGGCUCCCACUCUAUCGAGUUGAGUUGCGCUUGUGCCAGUCAUUUCUUUUCUUUUUUAAGGGUAGCUAGCAUCAAGACGACGGAGCCCACACCAUUUCGUAGCAGGUUCUUCGAAGGUGGCGACCUGUGCUGCUGCUGCGGCUGCUUAUGAAUCCAAGUGAGGAGGGUCUCGUGAGGAUCAGAGGGGUGAGGUGGUGGUGGGACGCGCUAGUGCGUGAUUUCGACUGUUUCUUUGUACAGAGGUUGGAUUGUCCGAGUUCGUUUGUUCACGGGGUCAGGUGGAGGUGUGCGGUUUCGUUCUUAGCUUGGCUGUCUUUAAAUGUGCGUGGUGCUGCACGAAUCUUCGAGAUUCAACAUUGACUCGAGUUGCUUAGUUUAGGCGCUAUUGACGGGCGUCCAAGAUGUUGCUGCUCUGAUUGAAGUAGCUGCCGCGCCUUGAUUGUGUAUUUUGACGUCAAGGUCUCGCUGCUAGGUUUGCGAGAAUCCGGUGGAGGAUUUAUUGGUCCAUGUGAAAGCAGUCGGUACGUCUGAGAGUACUGCUUACUUCUAGUUGCUUCCGCUUCGUUCCACAAGCUUACUGCGUAUUGCCAAGAACUUGUCUGCAUCUAGCCCCAACUGGAUCCAGUUGAUAGGAUAGCAGCCAUGGUUUGCAGAUCAGUCUGUACACUGAUAACAUUCUCGGUAGUACUCCUCAUACUAUCCUCGCUAGCGUCUGCAAUAAGGUCUUCACCAUUCGACUCUACUGCAAGGGAUGGGUUUUACUCGGAGCCUGCCUUACCGCCUCUAGGAUCAGGGUCACAGGUAUCAUCAGGACCAGCAUGGCCUGAAUUCCGAGAAGCACCGGCGUUUCGAAAUGGGAAGCAGUGCGCUUUCGUGAACCGAACACAGAACGAACUAGACCACAUAUGCGACCGGAACUCGGUGCACAUUUCUAUGACACUCGAUGUGAAAUAUCUGCGAGGGUCCAUGGCGGCCGUUUUCUCGAUCUUGAAGCAUACUGCGUGUCCGGAGAAUGUCAUCUUUCACUUCUUCGCCGCGGACCGAGAUGAACAGCUGCGAUCCCUUGUCUUUUCUACGUUCCCCUUUUUGAGAUUCAAAGUGUAUCACUUCAACGACGCACUGGUGAAUUCUAGAAUUUCUCCUUCUGUUCGGCCAGCGCUGGAACAUCCUUUGAACUACGCUCGUAGCUACCUGGCAGAUAUUUUGGAGCCGUGCAUUCAGAGAGUCAUCUACUUGGACUCGGAUCUCAUUGUUGUGGACGAUAUUGUGAAACUGUGGGGGACAAAGUUAGGGCCUCAUGCCAUCGGCGCCCCAGAGUAUUGCCACACUAACGUGACGAAAUACUUCACGGAUGCGUUCUGGAACAACAGAAUCUUGUCCAGCACUUUUGAUGGCAAGAAGCCUUGUUAUUUUAAUACCGGAGUUAUGGUGAUGGAUAUGGUGAAGUGGAGAACCGAGAACUAUCGCGCAGUAAUCGAGCAGUGGAUGGCAGUGCAAAGUAGUACGAGGAUUUACGACCUAGAUUCGCUCCCUCCGUUCUUGCUUGUUUUUGGAGGAUCGGUGGAGCCAAUUGACCACAGAUGGAAUCAGCAUGGCCUGGGCGGAGACAAUCUGGAGGGUAAGUGCAGGCCACUUCAUCCGGGUCCUGUGAGUUUGUUGCAUUGGAGUGGCAAGGGCAAGCCAUGGAUCCGAAUUGAUCAAAAGAGAAAGUGUUCUGUGGAUAGCUUAUGGGCGCCUUAUGACCUUCUUCUCCCCUCCACAUUAUCUUAUCAAUAAGGGUGGAGUUCAACGGGUGCCAAGAAGCGAAGGUUAAGAACUGACAAUAGUUGCGUAUAGUUUCAUAGAUUGUAGAUGUACAAUAUUAAAGAAUUAGAUGAGGGCAAAGGAGUCCGACUCAUUUGAUGGGCUUCUACUAUUCUUUCUGAGAAGUAUUUAAUAAGUUUGUGAACACGUAUCCGCAGUAAUUUUAGGGCAUCAUUCACGUCAGUGAGAUUGCGACCCUCGAGAAAAGAAUCCGGUAGGGAAAGUGAGAUGAUUCGGAAUCCCAUGAAAGGAUUUUGUGUCUAGUGCCUAGGUUUUGUACAUCGUAGCGAACGGUGAUUUGUGCACAGGGUCUGCGAAGUGCAUUCCUGUGUACGGUUGUCAUUAGUCGUGUUUGCAGAGUGCCUGCAGCACGAAACUUUGGGUUUUUAAAUUUUUCUAAAAAAAUAAUUUGUAGUCAGCUGAAGAGCUGCGUAUCACUUUUGUCAGAUUGUAUAAAUUUAUGAUGCUACCACUUACAAGAAA